rnacentral:rRNA from 1 species
GUUAAGCGACUAAGCGUACACGGUGGAUGCCCUGGCAGUCAGAGGCGAUGAAGGACGUGCUAAUCUGCGAUAAGCGUCGGUGAGGUGAUAUGAACCGUUAUAACCGGCGAUUUCCGAAUGGGGAAACCCAGUGUGUUUCGACACACUAUCAUUAACUGAAUCCAUAGGUUAAUGAGGCGAACCGGGGGAACUGAAACAUCUAAGUACCCCGAGGAAAAGAAAUCAACCGAGAUUCCCCCAGUAGCGGCGAGCGAACGGGGAGGAGCCCAGAGCCUGAAUCAGUGUGUGUGUUAGUGGAAGCGUCUGGAAAGGCGUGCGAUACAGGGUGACAGCCCCGUACACAAAAAUGCACAUAUUGUGAGCUCGAUGAGUAGGGCGGGACACGUGGUAUCCUGUCUGAAUAUGGGGGGACCAUCCUCCAAGGCUAAAUACUCCUGACUGACCGAUAGUGAACCAGUACCGUGAGGGAAAGGCGAAAAGAACCCCGGCGAGGGGAGUGAAAAAGAACCUGAAACCGUGUACGUACAAGCAGUGGGAGCCUCUUAAUGGGGUGACUGCGUACCUUUUGUAUAAUGGGUCAGCGACUUAUAUUCUGUAGCAAGGUUAACCGAAUAGGGGAGCCGAAGGGAAACCGAGUCUUAACUGGGCGUUAAGUUGCAGGGUAUAGACCCGAAACCCGGUGAUCUAGCCAUGGGCAGGUUGAAGGUUGGGUAACACUAACUGGAGGACCGAACCGACUAAUGUUGAAAAAUUAGCGGAUGACUUGUGGCUGGGGGUGAAAGGCCAAUCAAACCGGGAGAUAGCUGGUUCUCCCCGAAAGCUAUUUAGGUAGCGCCUCGUGAAUUCAUCUCCGGGGGUAGAGCACUGUUUCGGCAAGGGGGUCAUCCCGACUUACCAACCCGAUGCAAACUGCGAAUACCGGAGAAUGUUAUCACGGGAGACACACGGCGGGUGCUAACGUCCGUCGUGAAGAGGGAAACAACCCAGACCGCCAGCUAAGGUCCCAAAGUCAUGGUUAAGUGGGAAACGAUGUGGGAAGGCCCAGACAGCCAGGAUGUUGGCUUAGAAGCAGCCAUCAUUUAAAGAAAGCGUAAUAGCUCACUGGUCGAGUCGGCCUGCGCGGAAGAUGUAACGGGGCUAAACCAUGCACCGAAGCUGCGGCAGCGACACUAUGUGUUGUUGGGUAGGGGAGCGUUCUGUAAGCCUGUGAAGGUGGCCUGUGAGGGUUGCUGGAGGUAUCAGAAGUGCGAAUGCUGACAUAAGUAACGAUAAAGCGGGUGAAAAGCCCGCUCGCCGGAAGACCAAGGGUUCCUGUCCAACGUUAAUCGGGGCAGGGUGAGUCGACCCCUAAGGCGAGGCCGAAAGGCGUAGUCGAUGGGAAACAGGUUAAUAUUCCUGUACUUGGUGUUACUGCGAAGGGGGGACGGAGAAGGCUAUGUUGGCCGGGCGACGGUUGUCCCGGUUUAAGCGUGUAGGCUGGUUUUCCAGGCAAAUCCGGAAAACCAAGGCUGAGGCGUGAUGACGAGGCACUACGGUGCUGAAGCGACAAAUGCCCUGCUUCCAGGAAAAGCCUCUAAGCAUCAGGUAACAUCAAAUCGUACCCCAAACCGACACAGGUGGUCAGGUAGAGAAUACCAAGGCGCUUGAGAGAACUCGGGUGAAGGAACUAGGCAAAAUGGUGCCGUAACUUCGGGAGAAGGCACGCUGAUAUGUAGGUGAAGCGACUUGCUCGUGGAGCUGAAAUCAGUCGAAGAUACCAGCUGGCUGCAACUGUUUAUUAAAAACACAGCACUGUGCAAACACGAAAGUGGACGUAUACGGUGUGACGCCUGCCCGGUGCCGGAAGGUUAAUUGAUGGGGUUAGCGGUAACGCGAAGCUCUUGAUCGAAGCCCCGGUAAACGGCGGCCGUAACUAUAACGGUCCUAAGGUAGCGAAAUUCCUUGUCGGGUAAGUUCCGACCUGCACGAAUGGCGUAAUGAUGGCCAGGCUGUCUCCACCCGAGACUCAGUGAAAUUGAACUCGCUGUGAAGAUGCAGUGUACCCGCGGCAAGACGGAAAGACCCCGUGAACCUUUACUAUAGCUUGACACUGAACAUUGAGCCUUGAUGUGUAGGAUAGGUGGGAGGCUUUGAAGUGUGGACGCCAGUCUGCAUGGAGCCGACCUUGAAAUACCACCCUUUAAUGUUUGAUGUUCUAACGUUGGCCCGUAAUCCGGGUUGCGGACAGUGUCUGGUGGGUAGUUUGACUGGGGCGGUCUCCUCCUAAAGAGUAACGGAGGAGCACGAAGGUUGGCUAAUCCUGGUCGGACAUCAGGAGGUUAGUGCAAUGGCAUAAGCCAGCUUGACUGCGAGCGUGACGGCGCGAGCAGGUGCGAAAGCAGGUCAUAGUGAUCCGGUGGUUCUGAAUGGAAGGGCCAUCGCUCAACGGAUAAAAGGUACUCCGGGGAUAACAGGCUGAUACCGCCCAAGAGUUCAUAUCGACGGCGGUGUUUGGCACCUCGAUGUCGGCUCAUCACAUCCUGGGGCUGAAGUAGGUCCCAAGGGUAUGGCUGUUCGCCAUUUAAAGUGGUACGCGAGCUGGGUUUAGAACGUCGUGAGACAGUUCGGUCCCUAUCUGCCGUGGGCGCUGGAGAACUGAGGGGGGCUGCUCCUAGUACGAGAGGACCGGAGUGGACGCAUCACUGGUGUUCGGGUUGUCAUGCCAAUGGCACUGCCCGGUAGCUAAAUGCGGAAGAGAUAAGUGCUGAAAGCAUCUAAGCACGAAACUUGCCCCGAGAUGAGUUCUCCCUGAGACUUAGAGUCUCCUGAAGGAACGUUGAAGACGACGACGUUGAUAGGCCGGGUGUGUAAGCGCAGCGAUGCGUUGAGCUAACCGGUACUAAUGAACCGUGAGGCUUAACCUUACAACGCCGAAG